CUCCCAUGCCCUCCAGAUUUCAGAGCCUUUGAUCAUUUCUUUCUCAGCUUUUAUGCUCCUAGAACAAAGUGGCCCAUUUUGAUCUACCCUUGAAUGGCAUCCUUGUCCCCCAACUCCUUGAUCAUUUCCGAUGUCCUCCUCUUCACUUCCCCUAGCUGCUUUAUGUCUUUAAAAGUCACUUAACAAGGAAUUAGAAAGAAGCUGCUGUUUGCCCAAGUUUGUGCUAGGUCUUUUGGGAUGCUAAACAAGAUGCUGUUGCCCUGCUGUGCUUACUAGCCACUAUGGACUAAGAAGCUUUGCUCCACCAUGUUCUGCCAUGAUGUGUCUGCUUUGGAGCCAUCUGACCAUGAACUGAAACCUCUGAA